rnacentral:misc_RNA from 1 species
GGAAGUAAAAGUCGUAACAAGAUCUCCGUUGGUGAACCAGCGGAGGGAUCAUUACCGAGUGCAAACUCAUAACCCUUUGUGAACCUAUAUCUGUUGCUUCGGCGGCUCGCUCUCAGGCGAGCCCGCCGGUAAUAUCAGUAUCUCUGUUUGAACCCGACGAUACUUCUGAGUGUUCUUAGCGAACAGUUAAAACUUUUAACAACGGAUCUCUUGGCUCUA